UGGGGAAUUUUGGACAAUGGGGGCAACCCUGAUCCAGCCAUGCCGCGUGAGUGAAGAAGGCCUUCGGGUUGUAAAGCUCUUUCGGCGGGGACAAAACGGCCACUCAUAAUACGGGUGGUUAAUGAUGGUACCCGAAGAAGAAGCACCGGCUAACUACGUGCCAGCAGCCGCGGUAAUACGUAGGGUGCGAGCGUUAAUCGGAAUUACUGGGCGUAAAGCGUGCGCAGGUGGUUUCGUAAGUCAGAUGUGAAAUCCCCGGGCUUAACCUGGGAAUGGCAUUUGAGACUGCGGAGCUAGAGUACGGCAGAGGGAGGUGGAAUUCCACGUGUAGCAGUGAAAUGCGUAGAUAUGUGGAGGAACACCGAUGGCGAAGGCAGCCUCCUGGGCCAGUACUGACGCUCAUGCACGAAAGCGUGGGGAGCAAACAGG
rnacentral:rRNA from 1 species